GCUUUAGUAGCUUAAUUGGUAGAGCGGCUGUCUUCUAAACAGUAGGUUAUAGGUUCGAGUCCUAUCUAAAGCG
rnacentral:tRNA from 1 species